rnacentral:rRNA from 1 species
GUAGGGUGCAAGCGUUGUCCGGAAUUAUUGGGCGUAAAGAGCUCGUAGGCGGCUUGUCGCGUCGGUUGUGAAAGCCCGGGGCUUAACCCUGGGUCUGCAGUCGAUACGGGCAGGCUAGAGUUCGGUAGGGGAGACUGGAAUUCCUGGUGUAGCGGUGAAAUGCGCAGAUAUCAGGAGGAACACCGGUGGCGAAGGCGGGUCUCUGGGCCGAUACUGACGCUGAGGAGCGAAAGCGUGGGGAGCGAACAGGAUUAGAUACCCUGGUAGUCCACGCUGUAAACGGUGGGAACUAGGUGUGGGCAGCAUUCCACGUUGUCUGUGCCGCAGCUAACGCAUUAAGUUCCCCGCCUGGGGAGUACGGCCGCAAGGCUAAA